rnacentral:rRNA from 1 species
AGAAUCAACGCUGGCGGCGCGCCUAACACAUGCAAGUCGAACGAGAAAGUGGAGCAAUCCAUGAGUAAUGUGGCGUACGGGUGAGUAACACGUGGGUAAUCUACCCUUUGGUGUGGAAUAACCCUGGGAAACCGGGGCUAAUACCGCAUAAGCUCGAGAGAGGAAAGCAGCAAUGCGCCAAAGGAGGAGCCCGCGGCCGAUUAGCUAGUUGGUAGGGUAAAAGCCUACCAAGGCAAAGAUCGGUAGCCGGCCUGAGAGGGCACACGGCCACACUGGCACUGAAACACGGGCCAGACUCCUACGGGAGGCAGCAGUGGGGAAUCUUGCACAAUGGGGGAAACCCUGAUGCAGCGACGCCGCGUGAGCGAUGAAGCCCUUCGGGGUGUAAAGCUCUUUCGGUAGGGAAGAUGAUGACGGUACCUGCAGAAGCAGCUGCGGCUAACUACGUGCCAGCAGCCGCGGUAAUACGUAGGCAGCGAGCGUUGUUCGGAGUUACUGGGCGUAAAGGGUGUGUAGGCGGUUGCUUAAGUUUGGUGUGAAAUCUCCCGGCUCAACUGGGAGGGUGCGCCGAAUACUGAGUGACUAGAGUGCGGGAGAGGAAAGUGGAAUUCCUGGUGUAGCGGUGAAAUGCGUAGAUAUCAGGAGGAACACCGGUGGUGUAGACGGCUUUCUGGACCGUAACUGACGCUGAAACACGAAAGCGUGGGUAGCAAACAGGAUUAGAUACCCUGGUAGUCCACGCCCUAAACGAUGCACAUUUGGUGUGGGUCAUUCAGUUGAUCCGUGCCGGAGCUAACGCGUUAAAUGUGCCGCCUGGGGAGUACAGUCGCAAGGCUG